UUAAUAAAGAUUUGUUUUAUUCAAUAAAUUCUUCAUUAUCAUAGGAUGAAUUACACAAACAAAUGAGCCAUGUACCACUACAAACUGAUGCAAUUGGGAGGGGGGUGGGGGAUCCUAUAUACAUAAAAUAUUAAACAAAAAAAUUUCCUUAUUUAAAAAGAUAUUGAUAAAGGGGGGAAAAGAUGAUCUAUGCAUAAAUGUCAUUUCGUAGACAGUGAUGUGCUAUGUAUCAGUUGCCAGAUGGUACAUGAGAAGACAAAUAAAAUACAAAAUGGCUUCAAAAAAUAAAUGAAACAAAAAAGAAGGCAAACCAAUAAAUGUGUAAGCAAUAUAAACAUGGUUUGUAUCAAAGAGUCAAAACAAAACAGCAAACUAUUGGAGAGAUAGUAUUAAAAAACAGUUUAGUUGGCGACAGCUGUAACUUUUUUAAAAAAGUAAAGAAAUGAUUGUUGAAAUAGAAAAUAAAUUGCUAGGUUAAAAAUCAUACAAACUAUCUAAUGUAGUAGUAUUUUAUUCUAGGGACAAACAAAAUUGCCCAAUACUUUGCUGUUCAGGCCAUUUCCAUUAGACUUUGAUUUUAUCAAAACUAUAGAAAGGAGACCCUCCUCCCCCCAUAAGAAAGAUUUGAAGAACAAAAAAUUUAAAAUGCGAAUGAAAUGAAGCAGUUUUCUAGUUUGAAAAAUGUUAAAUAUACAAAUCAACAAAUCGAAUAUGUAAAACAUACAGUGCUGUCACGUGAUGGUCCAGUGGGAUGGUCAAUACUAUAGUGUAAAUGAAUCUGACAAUGGUUUGACACUUCAAAAAAAAAAAAAAAAAAAAG